rnacentral:rRNA from 1 species
GACGAACGCUGGCGGCGUGCCUAACACAUGCAAGUCGAACGGAACUGUUUUGACAGAUUUCUUCGGAAUGAAUUUGAUUUAGUUUAGUGGCGGACGGGUGAGUAACGCGUGAGUAACCUGCCUUCAAGAGGGGAAUAACAUUCUGAAAAGAAUGCUAAUACCGCAUGACAUAUCGGAACCACAUGGUUUUGAUAUCAAAGAUUUUAUCGCUUGAAGAUGGACUCGCGUCCGAUUAGUUAGUUGGUGAGGUAACGGCUCACCAAGACCGCGAUCGGUAGCCGGACUGAGAGGUUGAACGGCCACAUUGGGACUGAGACACGGCCCAGACUCCUACGGGAAGCAGCAGUGGGGGAUAUUGCGCAAUGGGGGCAACCCUGACGCAGCAACGCCGCGUGAAGGAUGAAGGUUUUCGGAUUGUAAACUUCUUUUAUUAAGGACGAAAAAUGACGGUACUUAAUGAAUAAGCUCCGGCUAACUACGUG